rnacentral:rRNA from 1 species
UACGGAGGGGGCGAGCGUUGUCCGGAUUUAUUGGGCGUAAAGAGCGUGUAGGCGGCCGAGCAGGUCCGUUGUGAAAACUGAAGGCUCAACCUUCAGAGGUCGAUGGAAACCGUUCGGCUAGAGUCCGGAAGAGGAGAGUGGAAGUCCUGGUGUAGCGGUGAAAUGCGCAGAUAUCAGGAAGAACACCCGUGGCGAAAGCGGCCCUCUGGGACGGUACUGACGCUGAGACGCGAAAGCGUGGGGAGCGAACAGG